rnacentral:pre_miRNA from 12 species
GUAGUGUCGCCGUCGGGAGCGGUGGCGUCGCGCGCUACUCUGGCGCCGGGGCUGUUCAGCGAGUCAGGUACCUGAAGUAGCGCGCGGGGCCUCCGCUCGGGUCGCCGCCGGAGCCA